UACGGGGGGGGGGCAAGCGUUGUUUCGGAAUUACUGGGCGUAAAGGGCUCGUAGGUGGCCAACUAAGUCAGACGUGAAAUCCCCUCAGCUUAAACUGGGGGAACUGCGUCUGAUACUGGAUGGCUUGAGUUUGGGAGAGGGAUGCGGAAUUCCAGGUGUAGCGGUGAAAUGCGUAGAUAUCUGGAGGAACACCGGUGGCGAAGGCGGCAUCCUGGACCAAUACUGACACUGAGGAGCGAAAGCCAGGGGAGCGAACGGGG
rnacentral:rRNA from 1 species